UUGAAACUUAAAGGGGGCCCCAACACAGCAGCACCGGGGCUGAGCUGAGGGGCUGAAGGCACCCACCGCCUCUCGGAAGUGUCAGCCCCCUGAGAGCAGGCAUGUCCCCUGAGCCCCUCUGAGAUCCUGGGGCCGGUUGGCCGCCACUAAUGGCUCCCUGGGAGGCCUCUGUCCAGGUCACAGCACUUCAGUGGUGCUGAGGGAGAGGAGGGGGUCUAAGCCCAGGCUUCCUGUUUGCCGAUAUUGUCCGGCACAGACCUAGGCCCCCUUGUCUGGAGCAACAGGACCAAUGGGGACAGGGCGGCGGUCCUCGACCUGCAGGUUGUGUGUUUGCCUGUGUGUGUCCAUCUAUCUAUCUACCUAUACCUGGGGGUGUUUGUAACACAUACACUGUACGUGGAUUAUCCGUGUCUGCGUUUGUCUGGCUGUGCACACUCACAUCUGCAGCCCACUCCUGCCUCCCGCCUCCACGUCAGUGUCUGUCCCUGUGCUUCUCUGCAUGUCCACGCGCUUGUGCUCUGAUUGUGUCAAAUGUCUGCAGCUGCAGGCAAGGGGACAUAGAAGGGGAUCCGGAAGACCAAAGAAAGAAGGAGGACCCCAGAGGGGCUGGACACUUCUUCAUUCGUGAGAACUCCGGGCCAAAGAGUCAGGUUUUCUCAGAGCCUAAGCUCAUCAAGAUGCCCACGUGCCUUCUUGGGGGCCCCAGCGCAGAGCGGGGGCUCCAGUUGUUAGGGCGGUCAUCUCCAAUUCGCCCAGGACCAUCUCAGCGUGUGAUGUCCGUGUGUGAUUCUCAAAAGUUUACAUGAUAAACCAGAUUCCCUUAA